rnacentral:rRNA from 1 species
AGCAGCCGCGGUAAUUCCAGCUCCAAUAGCGUAUAUUAAAGUUGCUGCAGUUAAAAAAGCUCGUAGUUGAAUUUCGGGACUAAUAUGUCGGUCGUGCCUCGGUACGUACUGGUAUUUUUGGUUUCUCCCUUCUGACGAACCUUGAUGUCAUUAAUUUGGUGUCUUGGGAAAUCAGGACUGUUACUUUGAAAAAAUUAGAGUGUUUAAAGCAGGCUCACGCUUGAAUACAUUAGCAUGGAAUAAUGAAAUAGGACGUUUGAUUCUAUUUUGUUGGUUUCUAGGAUUGACGUAAUGAUUAAUGGGGAUAGUUGGGGGCAUUAGUAUUCAAUUGUCAGAGGUGAAAUUCUUGGAUUUAUUGAAGACUAACUACUGCGAAAGCAUUUGCCAAGGAUGUUUUCAUUAAUCAAAGAACGAAAGUUAGGGAUACGAAGACGAUACAGAUACCGUCGUAGUCUUAACCAUAAACUAUGCCGACUAGGGAUCGGGAUGAUGUUAAUUUUUAANGUACUCAGUUCGGCGA